UACAGAGGUCUCAAGCGUUGUUCGGAUUCAUUGGGCGUAAAGGGUGCGUAGGCGGCUGGGUAAGUUUGAUGUGAAAUCCUGGGGCUCAACCCUGGAACUGCAUUGAAUACUGCUCGGCUAGAGUACUGGAGAGGAAACUGGAAUUCACGGUGUAGCAGUGAAAUGCGUAGAUAUCGUGAAGGAAGACCAGUGGCGAAGGCGAGUCUCUGGACAGCAACUGACGCUGAGGCACGAAGGCCAGGGGAGGCAA
rnacentral:rRNA from 1 species